GACGGAGGGGGCAAGCGUUGUCCGGACUCACUGGGCGUAAAGGGUGCGUAGGCGGUUUGGUGCGAUCGGCGGCUGAAAUCCGUGGGCUUAACCCACGGGCGCGUGCCGAUACGACGUGACUUGAGGCGUCGGAGAGGGUGGGAGAACUCCUGGUGUAGUGGUGAAAUGCGUAGAGAUCAGGAAGAAUACCUGUGGCGCCAAGCGCCCACCUGGCCGGAGACCAUGA
rnacentral:rRNA from 1 species